AUAUAUGAUAUUUUGAUAUAAAUUUAAUGAAUGAUUGAUCACACAAAUUGACAUAAGGUUGUCCUGCUGUAAAGUUUAUCCCUUACAGUGAAAAGGUUAUCCUAGUUUGUACUGAUCAUUGAUAAAAUUUGAUUUUAUAUAUUGUAUGUGAUGUUUAUGAUCUGAUUUAGAUAUGAUCUAAAGUUAUAACUAGAUCUGAUAUAAUUUAGAUUAGAUCUAAAUUCAUACAUAUGUGAU
rnacentral:lncRNA from 1 species